rnacentral:miRNA from 1 species
GUGGGAUCCGUUGAUGGGUUAC